GACCCUCCUCUGGAUGCACUUCAACAGGUCCAUGUCUUUCCUGUACUGAGGACUCCACAUGUGGACACCACUACUCAAGGUCCAGCAAACAUCAGUACUGAGCAUCUUCAGAUCAAAGAGGAAGGAACGUAUAUCUUGACACGACGCUUGAGAUCACAAUAAGGAAGUAUUUUUCUUUGGUCCAGCAGUAGAACUCAGAUGGUCUGGUGGUAAAGCGUAACUAAAAUACGAAAUAGGGAUGAACUGUCCUCUGCUGCUGCAAGACCAGACCCCAGUUAAAUCCUUAGAAUUGAAGACUUACUUCUGGCCAUCUAGAUCUCUGGCGCCUGGGCUAAAAUCCAGAUCUGUUGUCCAAGCAGCACACGUACCUCUGUCUCCUGCUCCUUCUCAGCAGAGCUGCCACAGAAACAUGCAGCUCAGAAAGACUCAAGAAGAUGGCACUGUGACAGAGCCUGGGAUCAUCAUGAGAGGCAGCACUGCCUGGCUGUACCAAGUCAUAUGCUUUGCUCUUGCUUCCUCUGUAGCAAUUUUCAUCUGCAGCAAAAGAGCUGGAAAGAUGAGGGGAAGAAAAAAAAAAGAGCACUAAAAUCAGGACACUCACACAUCAGCCAAGCUUUGUUUGUUCUUUCUCAUUUGCAUUCUUUCCCCCAGUGGUUCAACACUGAAAUUUAGCUGACUGUUCCCUUAGAGAUGAGGCUCCCAAAGGCUUCUCACCUGCCAGCGUCAUCUUACAGCCCCAGCCCGUACCUCUACUUGUCUGAGAUGCUUUUAUAAUGGUUUUGAAGGGAUCAGCAGCAGCCCCUCAAGCCACACCUUUCACAAACACUGUAUUCCUCUCCAUUCACACCUCAAAUUCAUCCCUGGGGAGAAGAAAUAUUUGUUAGCUCAAGAAAUACACAUAAACAUACAUGUGUGCAAGCAGUCAAGAGCUAAAUGGAAACUGAUCUUGGGGAAAGUGGAGGAAUGGAGGCACACUGCUGCCUGCCCUAAAGCUGACUAGUGCCUUCCUGCCUUUCCUUUUUUCUGUUUUCACUUAUAAUUGUUACUGUUCUGUAUUUGCACUGUGGAAGUAUUGAAAACUCAAAAGGAUAGGGGCAGCAGCUGAGCAAGACCCUUGCAGUCAAACAACUGAAAAUAUCCUGAGAAUCUCCUGAUCCCCUCAGCUUGACAGGUUCUGCAGAACAGCUUUCAUUUUAGAAAAAAACACCCAUUUUUUGGAACAGCAAAAGCAGAAUUUUCCAGAAACAAAUGUAUUGAGGACAAAACCUGUUUGUAUUUCAGAAUAUACUACAUGUUAUAUAUGUUACAAAAGUGGAGAACCAAACAAAAAAGGUUGAAAUUCCUGUACAGUGUUUCAGUUUUCACAAAAAGAAGAGCGCCAUGUUGAACAACACUCAGCUCUGUGCAAAAAUCCCUUUUUGGGGGAAUUUUGAAUAUUUGGCAUUUCACUGAAAAUCAGAAAAGAGUUAUGAAAGUUCAGGCUCUGAGUCUAAGGAUGUAAAAUUUCUUCAUUUCAGGAAGUGAAAAAUACUGUGUGUUCCUGAGUGUCAUUUAUGGGUCAGGUAAAGAACCUGCAAAGCUGUAAAGGAGCCAAUUACUAACUGAUGUGCUAUAUUGACUCGUGUUUGCUGAACUAAUAUUUUGCUGUGAUGCAUAUGUCUGAUUUGAAGAGUUCUUGGCUCUGGAGAUUUCAUAAUUACUUGGAUAUGAAGAUCCAGAUUGACAUUGUUGUGGCUCAGCUGCAUUCAGGCAGAGCUUGUCACCAGGCACAGGGAACACAGGCUGUAGAAAAAAUGCCAUUAUUCAGUAGAUAAGGACGACGGCUCACAAUUAUUAUACUUCCUCUCAGUGUUUUAAUUUUCACGCUGUGUUUCAGUGACAUUGAGAGUAGCAGGCAGAGCAAACAAAGCCUAAGGAACAGCUCCUUGCCACUGCUCCUUAAUAAAAGGAAAUGUAUCAAUCUCUACCGCCUGACCUUUGCAACGAGAUGUAAUGAAGUGACAAAAAGAGAAGGGGUGAUGCAGCUACCAAGUUUACACUUGAAAGAGUUUAUCGCAAUGCUCAACUGAUAUCUGAAACUUCCUCCUAAACAACAUGUUUCCAAGGUCAGUGAAGGAUGUUCUUGUGACUUUCAGUAAGUUCUGGUGAGGCUCUCCAAGUGCCCGCUUCAUCUAACACUGAACAAACACAGAGAGCUGAUGAAUGCAAUAGGUAUGUGAAAAGAGAGUGUGGCACCUGAAGAGAAUUUGAAAUAGAAAGGACCAAAGGUGAAAAGAUUUAAAAAAAAAGAGCAGAGUUCCAAUUCUUUGACACUUUUCUUCUUAGAUAAAGAUUCCUGUUUAAUCCCUCAAGAUACUAUUGUUUUUUAGCUGAAUUAAACCAGCAAUGUGAUCAAAAUACUUGUUAAUCCUGUGUUGUUCAUUUUCUCCGCUGCUAACACCACCCAGAGUCUAGGUCUGUUUAGCAGCAGACAGAAUUAUUGAUUGCUUCUGUUUUGCAUUUAAGAAUAGCAAAACACCCAUUUGGAGUUCUUUAACAAAAUAUCUAACUAUUAAUGAGUAUAUAAAAGGUAUUAAAAACUGAGAGAAAGUGAAAAAGUAGUCUAGACA